AAAGUAACACAAGACUCAGCUGCUUUCUGAUAUCCCUUAGUACACACUCUGGUAAACAACUUAACCUCAGCUGUCUGGAGUUUUCCUUAGAACCUGUAAUAUGCAAUCGCCCUGGAGUGCAGCCUUUCUCCUUUGUGCUCACAGAGGAGGCCAAUCAGACCUCAGUUCUCCUCUGGUCUCCGACAAGAAUCCACAUUGUGGAUUUGCAGAGAGGUACCAUGAAGUAGCCGUCCAGUGGUUCUGUUUUAGAACCCGGGGUUCAGGCAGAGGAAGAGGUCCUUUGCGGGAUUCUUUCUAAAGCACAUUUGCUUGCUCUGCCGUCUUGCCUGAGUGAAGAACCGCCAUCGUGAACAGAAUUGAAUUCCUGGAGGAGGGCGGCUGGCUCCAGUUCCGCCAGGUCUGGAGAGCAACGCUGAGACCAGCAGGUGGAGGCCGUGGGGAGCCUAACAUCCUAAUGUCAGCUCGCCUCGGGGAGCACUUUCCCCCAUGGGAAGCUCACCAAGAACAGAAAUACCAGCUUGCCUUGGGAGGUCACGAUCGCUACUCUCCGUCAACCAGCAUCAGCAAGUCACUCAACCUCCUGAGUUUUGCAUUCCUCACACACAGAAUGGAGCCAGGGAUUCCUACCUUGCAGUGUGGCAGGUGUUGUGUCAGAGAAUGCUCGGACUGCCCCUUGCCAGGUCAAGUGAAGAGACAACUUGUGGAAAUGUGGUGACUCCCCACAGAUGGCUGCCCCUAUGUCCCUCCUCUGGAAGAGUUCUGCUGCCUGUCCUUUACAGGAGCUCCAUGGCACCUCCAGCUUGCAGAACUUCAAAUGACAGUGUAACCCUGAGCUCUGUGCUCAUUGAGAGAGGAGUAAAAUCCUGGAUUCUUGCCUCCCUGCAGCCCAGGGACUGCCUGUGUGUUUCUAUUUCAUGCUGGUAGGAUGAGGCUAAUUUCGACUUCCUAGUGGCUAGGAUUCCAAGUGGAUAACCAGAAGCAGCAAGCAACAGGAUUGGAACCUGCUGGUGCAGUUAGAAAUAAAUUGCUUGUGCCUGGAUUUCAGAGGAAAGCCGUGCUUUAUGGGGAUGGGCUGGGGGGGAGGUGGGAUCAGACUCCUUCACAUUCUGCCUCAGCGCUGGGGCUGCUCCUUCCAAGGAUGACUCACAGCACAUCCAACAGUCUCCCUUGGAAGUUGAAAGCCUGAAGGGGUUUGAUGCAAUAAAGCAGCAGUCAUCUGAGGAAGGUGGGGGAUGGUGAGGCAGGUAUUAUUAGCUUCUUGGAGCUCAGUGGAAUUUACAGGGUGCUGGCUGCCUGGGCAGAGCUGCCCCAGGGGAGGGUGAGGGGCUGCAUCCAGGUAAGAUGCUUUUAGUUGUAAUUAACAAAUAAGCCAACUUCAUUGGCUUAGAGCUUAAGGAA
rnacentral:lncRNA from 1 species